GACGAACGCUGGCGGCGUGCUUAACACAUGCAAGUCGAACGGAAAGGCCCUGCUUUUGUGGGGUGCUCGAGUGGCGAACGGGUGAGUAACACGUGAGUAACCUGCCCUUGACUUUGGGAUAACUUCAGGAAACUGGGGCUAAUACCGGAUAGGAGCUCCUGCUGCAUGGUGGGGGUUGGAAAGUUUCGGCGGUUGGGGAUGGACUCGCGGCUUAUCAGCUGGUUGGUGGGGUAGUGGCUUACCAAGGCUUUGACGGGUAGCCGGCCUGGGAGGGUGACCGGCCACAUUGGUACUGAGGUACGGCCCAGACUCCUACGGGCGGCAGCGGUGGGGAAUCUUGCACAAUGGGCGGAAGCCUGAUACAGCAGCGCCGCGUGCGGGAUGACGGCCUUCGGGUUGUAAACCGCUUUCGCCUGUGACGAAGCGUGAGUGACGGUAAUGGGUAAAGAAGCACCGGCUAACUACGUG
rnacentral:rRNA from 1 species